ensembl:rRNA 5S_rRNA 5S ribosomal RNA
GUCUAUGGCCAUAUCACCCUGAACGUGUCCAAUCUUGCCUGAUCUCAGAACCUAAUCAGGGUCGGGCCUGGUUAGCAUUGGAUAGGAGAAUCUGCCUGCAAUGUGGGUAGACUUGGGUU